AAGGAACUGACAGAGUCUGAAUGCAAAUCAAAAUAUACCAUUUUCCAAUUUAUCUCCUCCAAUGAGAAGUCCUCAACAUCAAAUGGAGCAUCAGAAAGGCCAAGUGAAGUAGUUGGCCCUUUUAAGGAGAAAGUCUAUUCUGUAGAGAAUAAAGAAAAGGAAAAGAGAAUGGAGGAUGAUUUAGAGGAUUUAAAACAGGUGAAAACACAGCCCAUACUUGGAUAUGAAAGGUAGGACAUUAGCAUAAAGGAUUUGAAGUAACCUUUGAAAUAGGAUUUGACUUAGCUUUUUCAUUCAUGUUCUCUUUAGUCUUUCAUUUGCUUGG
rnacentral:lncRNA from 1 species